rnacentral:misc_RNA from 1 species
ACUCGAUAAUCCACGAAUACCCUACCCUAUCUAGAUCAAACAGCUUGUGUACUGCCGUCAUAAGCACACCUCUAAGAGUCUAAAGUGUGCAAUAAUGAUUAUUCUCAUAUAUGUCAGGUCAAAGUGCAGCUCAUGAAAGGGAGAUGAUGGGUUACACCCUAUAUAAAGAUACCAAUUUUAACAUUAAAAGCUAAAUGAAGGUGGACUUGGACGUAACUAUAAUUCAAUGUUAUAACGAAAACGAAUCUAAGACAUGUACACAUCGCCCGUCACUCUCGCCUAAAGGCGAGAUAAGUCGUAACAAAGUAGGUGUAACGGAAGUUGCACCUGUCGAAGUAUAGCAUAUAUAAUGCUUUUUACUUACACUAAAAAUAAAACAAAUUUGUUUACUUCGCCCAUCCAUAUACACCCUACAUAAUAAACCUAAUUAAAACACUAAUAUAAUAAAUUUCUAUUCAAUAUCAAACCAAAAGUACUGAAAAGGAAAUACAAAUUCUUAAAGUAGUGAAGUCUCACGUACCUUGUGCAUUAUGGUUUUACAAGCUAUUAAUUAACAAUAUCAUCCCGAAUUCUAUGCGAGCUGCUCCCACAUUGCUAAGAGCCCACUUUUAAUUGUAGCAUCAAUUUUAGAAAAUAGGGUAGCAGAGGCUACAUACCAUUCGCGCUAGAAAAUUGCUGGUCUUCAGCAAAAUUUAUCAAUUAAAACAUGUAGUAUAACUACAGUGUAAGACUAUAGAGGAUAAGCCCUAUAAUCUAAAGCUAACAAAUAAAGAACAAUAUACAUAGGCUUAAAAACAGCCAUAUACAGUACUUUACCGUACUACACGUACAAUAUAUAAAUAUUAUGCCCCAAUAAGCUGAAAUUUAAGAAAAACUUACUAUCUUAAAAUAUUCUGUAAAAAUAAGUAUUAAAUAAAUAAUCAUAUAAAUUAAAUGUAACAACAAUAUAAAAACAACUAAACACUUAUAAAGGAACUCGGCAAACACUUAUUUCGACUGUUUAACAAAAACAUUGCCUGUCGUAAAACACAUGAUAGGUA